CCGGGGUGGGGGAGGGGCCGCUCUCAGAGGGCGCCUCAAGGUGGCCGCAGGUUCCGUCCCGGGGGAGGGUCAUGGAGCUGCACGAGGCCGCCCCUCCCCCCCCGGAGGUCAAGCACCUCCUGGAGACGCCCUUCGGGGUGAU